GAGAGUGUAGCUCAGUGGAGAGCACGUGCUUAGCAUGCACGAGGCCUGGGUUCAAUCCCCAGUACUGCCA
rnacentral:tRNA from 1 species